UGUGGUGCAACAUGGGGCACAGGCAGAUGACAGCCCAUCCACCCUGGGAAGCUUUCCUGAGCCUUGGAAAAUGGCUCACCAUGGAUCCUGGGCUUCUGUUUAUCCCUGCUGCCUAUCUUUCCUGACAGAAGUCAGCCAGCCUCAACUUGGAUAUGUUGGGCUGCCUCCUUCAGACCAUGAAAACUAGUGAAGGCACAGAGAAGGCCAGUGGUACAGCCACGAAGCCCUCAGAUUACCAGCUUUCAAGGCCUAUCCUGUGUUCUAUCUCCCCAGGAAAACAUUUCUGGCUGUUCUAGUCCACAGAGAAAAGACAUUAGCUUCUCAUGAAGAGGACACAACUAUCAACACGGUGGCUUCCAUGGGGACCUGCCAGCCUUCAAGCACUCAUUAGUAGUGAAUCCAGGGUCAGGGUAAUUUGAGAGUCAAAUGGUGGUCAACUGUCGACCAGGAAAUCUCUUCGGGCCCAGGCUGUCAUACAUAGCAUUAUUAGAGGACUAAAAGAGAGAGAGAACCAGUGUGGUGAUGUGUACCUGUAGUCUCAGCUACUCAGGAGGCUAAGGUGGGAGGAUAGC